GCGGUAAUACUGACAGAACGAGUGGUGCCCACGAAUAUUGGGUCUAAAGAGACCGUAGCUGGCCUGUUAAGUCCACUGUGAAAUCUUGGGGCUCAACCUCAAGGCGUGCAGUGGAUACUGGCAGGCUUGAGAGCGGGGGAGGUCAGGGGUACUUACGGGGUAUGAGUAAAAUCAGUUGAUCCUGUAAGGACCACCAGUGGCGAAGGCGCCUGACCAAAACGCGUCUGACAGUGAGGGUCGAAGGCUAGGAGAACGAAUCGGAUUAGAUACCCGAGUAGCCCUAGCAGUAAAUUAUGCAGACUGUGGUGUUGCUGUGGCUUCGGGCCACAGCAGUGCUGUAGCGUAGGUGUUAAGUCUGCCACCUGGGGAGUACGGCCGCAAGGUUGAAACUUAAAGGAAUUGGCGGGGGAGCACCACAAGGGGUGGAUGCUGCGGUUCAAUUGGAUUCAACGCCGGGAA
rnacentral:rRNA from 1 species